GGAUAUCACCAUAGGACAGCCAUGUUGUUGAAUUUUUGCGUCUUUAAAAGAAAUUCUAAUAAAAAAGGACAUUCCCAUUCUGAAAUGUAACAAAUGUACAAUUCUGGUAGGAUUUAAAGGAAACAUUUUUUUCCGUUUUGUUUUUCGAAAAAUAAAGAAAGAAAUUAGUAAGAGGAUUUACUUUGUAAAUUACAAAAAAAAAUAAUAAU
rnacentral:lncRNA from 1 species